AUUGAACGCUGGCGGCAUGCCUUACACAUGCAAGUCGAACGGCAGCACGGGAGCAAUCCUGGUGGCGAGUGGCGAACGGGUGAGUAAUAUAUCGGAACGUGCCCAGUCGUGGGGGAUAACGCAGCGAAAGCUGUGCUAAUACCGCAUACGAUCUAUGGAUGAAAGCGGGGGAUCGCAAGACCUCGCGCGAUUGGAGCGGCCGAUAUCAGAUUAGCUAGUUGGUGAGGUAAAGGCUCACCAAGGCGACGAUCUGUAGCUGGUCUGAGAGGACGACCAGCCACACUGGAACUGAGACACGGUCCAGACUCCUACGGGAGGCAGCAGUGGGGAAUUUUGGACAAUGGGCGCAAGCCUGAUCCAGCAAUGCCGCGUGCAGGAUGAAGGCCUUCGGGUUGUAAACUGCUUUUGUACGGAACAAAACGGUGAGCUCUAAUACAGUUUGCUAAUGACGGUACCGUAAGAAUAAGCACCGGCUAACUACGUGCCAGCAGCCGCUGUAAAAC
rnacentral:rRNA from 1 species